rnacentral:tRNA from 1 species
GGCGCUAUAGUGUAGUGGUUAUCACUCGAGAUUCUGAUUCCAGUGUUCUCGUAACCCUGGUUCGAGCCCAGGUAGUGCCU